UACGAAGGGGGCUAGCGUUGCUCGGAAUUACUGGGCGUAAAGGGCGCGUAGGCGGACAGUUUAGUCAGAGGUGAAAGCCCCAGGGCUCAACCUUGGAACUGCCCUUUGAUACUGGCUGUCUUGAGUUCGGGAGAGGUGAGUGGAAUGCCGAGUGUAGAGGUGAAAUUCGUAGAUAUUCGGCGGAACACCAGUGGCGAAGGCGACUCACUGGCCCGUAGUACUGACGCU
rnacentral:rRNA from 1 species